AACGAACGCUGGCGGCGUGCCUAACACAUGCAAGUCGAACGGGGAUAGAUAGCUUGCUAUUUAUUCUAGUGGCGCACGGGUGAGUAACGCGUAGAUAAUCUGCCUUGGACUCUGGGAUAACAUUUCGAAAGGGGUGCUAAUACCGGAUAAGCCCACGGGGACGUAAGUUCUUGCGGGAAAAGGGGGCCUCUGCAUAUGCUCUUGAUCCAAGAUGAGUCUGCGUACCAUUAGCUAGUUGGUGGGGUAAUGGCCUACCAAGGCAACGAUGGGUAGCUGGUCUGAGAGGAUGACCAGCCACACUGGGACUGGAACACGGCCCAGACUCCUACGGGAGGCAGCAGUGGGGAAUAUUGCGCAAUGGGGGAAACCCUGACGCAGCGACGCCGCGUGAGCGAUGAAGGCCUUAGGGUUGUAAACCUCUUUUCAUAGGGAAGAAUAAUGAC
rnacentral:rRNA from 1 species